UACGUAGGGGGCGAGCGUUGUCCGGAUUCAUUGGGCGUAAAGCGCGCGUAGGCGGCUUCGUAAGUCGGCCGUGAAAUCUCCAGGCUUAACCUGGAGGGGUCGGGCGAGACUGCGGGGCUCGAGGUGGGCAGAGGGCAGUGGAAUUCCGGGUGUAGUGGUGGAAUGCGUAGAGAUCCGGAGGAACACCAGUGGCGAGGGCGGCUGCCUGGGCCUGGCCUGACGCUGAGGCGCGAAAGCGUGGGGAGCGAUCCGG
rnacentral:rRNA from 1 species